UACGAAGGGGGCUAGCGUUGUUCGGAAUUACUGGGCGUAAAGCGCACGUAGGCGGACUAUUAAGUCAGGGGUGAAAUCCCGGGGCUCAACCCCGGAACUGCCUUUGAUACUGGUAGUCUCGAGUCCGGAAGAGGUGAGUGGAAUUCCUAGUGUAGAGGUGAAAUUCGUAGAUAUUAGGAAGAACACCGGUGGCGAAGGCGGCCCACUGGAUCGGUACUGACGCUGAGGUGCGAAAGCGUGGGGAGCAAACAGG
rnacentral:rRNA from 1 species